CCACUGGGUAAGUAUAUUAGUACUUAGGCAAUACUGCGCUUCGGAACUUCGGCAAUUCAGAACUUCGGCAACUUCGACACUUCGGAAAUUCGGCAAAUUCGGAACUUCAGGACCUCGGUAAUUCGGCACUUCGGCUAUUCGGACAUUCGGAAGUACCCGAAUUGCCCGAAAUUUGUCCGAAUUCAUAUUCGGCCCGAAGCGAAUUGCACAUGUCUACUUCUAACGUUGUUUGUUGUUCAG